GGGUAGAGCUCAGGGGUAGAGCACGUGCUUAGCAUGCACGAGGUCCCGGGUUCAAUCCCCAGUCUCUCCA
rnacentral:tRNA from 1 species